GAAAUCAAGCAGAAGUUAUCCGCUUCUCACCUUACGAUUACGUUGUAAGGUUAAUAGCUAAGUAUGUUUAUGUUCUUAGUUGUGUUGUGUAUUUAAGCGGAUGGCGUAUGCUAUCCGCUUUUUAUUUUCGUA
rfam:[Clostridium] thermoalcaliphilum strain DSM 7309 CLOTH_contig000003, whole genome shotgun sequence.